GGAGGCACCUGCACAGGUGCUGCAUGGCUGUCGUCAGCUCGUGUCGUGAGAUGUUGGGUUAAGUCCCGCAACGAGCGCAACCCUUAUCCCUAGUUGCCAUCAGGUAAAGCUGGGAACUCUGGGGAGACUGCCGGUGAUAAACCGGAGGAAGGCGGGGAUGACGUCAAGUCCUCGUGGCCCUUACAUCCCGGGCUACACACGUGCUACAAUGGCAGGUACAGAGGGCUGCGAAGCCGCGAGGUGGAGCGAAUCCCAGAAAACCUGUCUCAGUCCGGAUUGAAGUCUGCAACUCGACUUCAUGAAGGCGGAAUCGCUAGUAACCGCGAAUCAGCAGGUCGCGGUGAAUACGUUCCCGGGCCUU
rnacentral:rRNA from 1 species